rnacentral:rRNA from 1 species
UACAGAGGUGGCAAGCGUUGUUCGGAAUUACUGGGCGUAAAGGGCGCGUAGGCGGCCUUCUAAGUCAGACGUGAAAUCCCCCGGCUUAACCUGGGAACUGCGUCUGAUACUGGGAGGCUUGAGUAUGGGAGAGGGAUGUAGAAUUCCAGGUGUAGCGGUGAAAUGCGUAGAGAUGUGGAGGAACACCGAUGGCGAAGGCAGCCCCCUGGGUCAAGAUUGACGCUCAUGCACGAAAGCGUGGGGAGCAAACAGG